rnacentral:tRNA from 1 species
GUAAAUAUAGUUUAAAAAAACUCUAGACUGUGAACCUAGAAACAGAAGACUAAACCUUCUUAUUUACC